AGUGGAGGACCGAACCCAUAAGCGUUAAAAAGCUUCGGGAUGACUUGUGGAUAGCGGAGAAAUUCCAAUCGAACUCGGAGAUAGCUGGUUCUCCUCGAAAUAGUUUUAGGACUAGCCUUGUUUAGUAGCACGCGGGGGUAGAGCACUGAAGGAGCUAGGGGCCAAACCAGGUUACCGAACUCUAUCAAACUCCGAAUACCGUGUGUGUAAGAACAGGAGUCAGACUGUGGGAGCUAAGUUCCAUGGUCAAAAGGGAAAGAGCCCAGAUCGUCAAUUAAGGUCCCAAAGAUAUAGUUAAGUGGGAAACGAUGUGAUUUUGCGUAAACAACCAGGAUGUUGGCUCAGAAGCAGCCAUUCAUUAAAAGAGUGCGUAAUAGCUCACUGGUCGAGUGAAAUUGCGCGGAAAAUUACCGGGGCUAAGUUAUCAACCGAAAUUGCGGAUUUGAUGUUGAAAGACACAUCAAGUGGUAGAGGAGCAUUCUGUAGUAGGACGAAGCUAGAGCGAAAGCACUAGUGGACGAAGCAGAAGAGAGAAUGCUGGAAUAAGUAGCGAGAGCAAGGUGAGAAUCCUUGCCGUCGAAAGUCUAAGGUUUCCUGGGGAAGGUUCGUCCGCCCAGGGUAAGUCAGGACCUAAGGAGAGGCCGAAAGGCGUAUCUGAUGGAUAGCAGGUAGAAAUUCCUGCACUGUAUAAUGCUUAAAAGAUGCAAGGGACGCAGAAGUGGAAGGUAAGCGAGGAAGAGGAAAAACUCGUACCGCAAGGGAUAGUGAAAAUAAAGUAACGAAGUACCAAGAAGCACGCUGACGAGAAAAGCUUGUAGAUAUUGUAUUAUACACCUGUACCGCAAACCGACACAGGUAGAUGAGGAGAAGAUCCUAAGACGAUCGGGAGAAGCAUUGUUAAGGAACUCGGCAAACUAACCCCGUAACUUCGGAAGAAGGGGUACCAGUGUAAAAGCUGGUCGCAGAGAAUCGUCCCAAGCAACUGUUUAACAAAAACAUAGGUUUCUGCUAAAUCGAAAGAUGAAGUAUAGGAGCUGACGCCUGCCCAGUGCUGGAAGGUUAAGGGGAAAUGUUAAAUUAUAAAUUGAAGCAUAGAACCAAAGCCCCAGUGAACGGCGGCCGUAACUAUAACGGUCCUAAGGUAGCGAAAUUCCUUGUCAGGUAAGUUCUGACCCGCACGAAUGGCGUAACGAUUUGGGCGCUGUCUCAACAACCCACCCGGCGAAAUUGUAGUACCGGUGAAGAUGCCGGUUACCCGCAACUAGACGGAAAGACCCCAUGGAGCUUUACUGCAGCUUAAUACUGGAAUUCGGUAAUUCAUGUACAGGAUAGGUGGGAGACUGGGAAAUAUAGGCGUCAGCUUAUGGGGAGUCGCCCUUGGGAUACCACUCUUGAGUUGCUGGAAUUCUAACCUGCGGCUCUGAAUCGAGUCAGGGGACAUUGUUAGGCGGGCAGUUUGACUGGGGCGGUCGCCUCCUAAAAGGUAACGGAGGCGCUCAAAGGUUCGCUCAGCAUGGAUGGAAACCAUGCUCUUGAGUGUAAACGCAAAAGCGAGCCUAACUGCGAGACUGACGGGUCGAGCAGUAACGAAAGUUGGAGUUAGUGAUCCGGCGGUAUGUGAGUGGAAAUGCCGUCGCUCAACGGAUAAAAGCUACCCUGGGGAUAACAGGCUGAUCUCCCCCAAGAGUCCACAUCGACGGGGAGGUUUGGCACCUCGAUGUCGGCUCAUCGCAUCCUGGGGCUGAAUUCGGUCCCAAGGGUUUGGCUGUUCGCCAAUUAAAGCGGUACGCGAGCUGGGUUCAGAACGUCGUGAGACAGUUCGGUCCCUAUCUGUCGUGGGCGUAGGAUAUUUGAAAGGAGCUGUCCCUAGUACGAGAGGACCGGGAUGGACGCACCGCUGGUGCACCAGUUGUCAUGCCAAUGGCACAGCUGGGCAGCUAUGUGCGGAACGGAUAAACGCUGAAGGCAUCUAAGCGUGAAGCCGACCUUAAGAUAAGAUAUCCCUUCGUAAGAGUAAGACCUCUCAUAGACUAUGAGUUUGAUAGGCUCAAGGUGUAAGCGUGGUGACACGUUCAGCCUGCGAGUACUAAUCGGUCGAGGGCUUUUCCU
rnacentral:rRNA from 1 species